AUGUCAGACUUUACAGCAGAAAUAAACAUGUUUACAGCCUGGUACAAAAAACUGUUCUUUGAUUUUUCAAGGCUGAUUUUCCCUUUUAUGACAACUGUACAGGGGGUGAAUUUUUAUGUGACUCCCCCAUUUACAUUUGAGUAUUAAGUGACAGACUGUCUGCAGAUAGUGUCCUCAGCUUCUCAGUCAGAUCCGCCCCUCGCUCCUCCACAGCUCCAGCCUCUCUCCAGCCCGAAUAUGGUCACUUCUGGCUCCAAAAAAUUGAGGUGGCGAGGGCCGAAAUGCCAAAUGUAAGGCUUCAAAACGCCACAAACUAAUAGGUGAUGUCAUGGUAGCUACAGCAGUGUUUAAUCAUAGAUAUAAUGUGUUAAUUGCAAGCUUUAGAUGAAGCUCUGUAGCCAUUUUCCUGUUUCCAGUCUAACCAGCUGCUUACUUCAACUUUGUACUUUCAGUACAGACAUAACACUGUGCAAUACAACUCUUACAACAUUAUUCCUUUAUUUGUUUUUUUAAAUUUAAAAAUAUAUUGUUAAAUUUAAAAAAAAAGUUAUAUGCAGCGAUGUUACAUGAUUUUCUUGUGCACUACAGAAAUGCAUGUCACAUAUUGUGUUUCUAACUUUUUUGUGAUCAACAUGUUGACUUUUUUGACACAUUUACAGGCCCCGAAAACCCUUUUUCUUCAUCCAUCAGCUUAUUAUUCUGAUUGAUGGAGUUCUACAACAUUUCCUUGUAAAGGUCUGCUUAUUCUAAGACACAAAUUUUCUGUAUUUAUGUUUUGGUCUGUGCAUUUUUCAUGUUUGAACUGGGCAGGACUUGAUUGGAAAAGGUCAUGCAUUUGGUAUACAUAUGUACAGAAGCAUGAGGUAUCCACUUGGAAAAAAGCUGCUCUUUAUUUGCAAAUUAACCUCAGAAUUUUGAGGAAAGUUCAUGGAAAAAAAUUCUGCUCAAAUGUUAUUUUUUUCUUGUGAAUGCAUUACGCUUCCUUACUUACGCAGCAAUUAUGAUUUAUCGACAUUCAGAUCAAAAAGCGAUUACAGUCUGAACUUGAUUAAAUUUUUUAAAGUAUGUUUUAUGUUGCAGAGAAAGAUACAGGUCCAAGAUUUGAAACCACGAGGCUUCAAUUUUAAAGGAAAGAAAAAUGAUUGAUCCUCCUCUUGAAGAUGUCAAUAGCGCUGGCUAUCUGUCCUGCUUUGUACUGACACACAAUAAUGGAACAUCACUGCCUGCAAUACACCUUAAAGACAGACCUGAGAGAAACAUUUUAAAAUAUCCCUGAUCGAGUUAAAGCAGAUCAUUUUCAUGUAACACUUUUGUAAUGAUAAUACCCAGAGCUUAAGUAAUAAAGGAAGGAGCGAAAUCUGCCUCUUGUCAGCGUUUACGAUGAGAAGCACUUGCAUGAUUAGAUGUCUUGCGAUCGAUGCAGCUUCUUCUCCCAAUCAUUAAGACUGCUCUUAACAGAUUACAGCCCCCUCCCAAACACGCAGCCUUUUCUCCUCCUCUUCCUGCUCCUCCUCCUGUCUCACUUACUCUCUCUUUCGGCAGAUAGAACAGGGGGCUUGCCUCUUUGGCACUUCUUUAGCUUCCCCUUUGUAUUUUGUCCUUUUCAGGGAUUCUUCCCAAAAGCAACAGCUCACGUCUUCAGGUUCAGGUAGAGUUUCUCUGGUUUCACCUGAGCUCCACUGACGACCAGAUGAACAGACAGCGGAAUGAAAAAGACUAAACUGAAAUACAAGAGGUGGUGGUGAACAGCUGACAAAAAUGGACCUGCUGACAAUCUUCUGUCACUUCCUGCUUUUAUGUUUUGAUCCAUCUGCGGCCACAAGUCUCAUCACAGCGGAUAUAUUCGAAGCCAGAGGUCAACGUGUGUGCAAGGCAGGAAAAGGGAAGCCGUGCUACAAGCUGGCCUAUUUCUCCGAGCUCCGGCGUAGGCUGAACUUCGUAGAUGCAGAGUUCGCCUGCAGACGGGACGGGGGGCAGCUGCUGAGCGUGGAGUCGGAGUCUGAGCAGAAGAUCAUAGAGCAGCUCAUCACAGAGCUCCGCCCAACUGAUGGAGACUUCUGGAUCGGUCUCCGCCGUAACCAUGGAGACGAGAACAGCAGCUCAGACUGCUCCUCACAGUACUACUGGCUGGAUGGCAGCAAAUCACCAUUUAGGAACUGGCAUUGGGAUGAGCCAUCAUGUGGCUAUGAGGUGUGUGUGGUAAUGUAUCACCAACCGUCCGCUCCUCCCGGUCUGGGUGGGCUCUAUAUGUUCCAGUGGAAUGACGACAAUUGUGAAACCAAGAACAACUUCAUCUGUAAAUACACUGCAGAGAAGCCACAGGACCCGUCCCCGUCUCCCAACUCCACUCUAACAAAUGUCUUCCCUUCAUCCGUGCUGCCGUGGAAUCCAAAUGACCGCGACCAGGGCAGCAAUACAGCUCUGAAUCUGAUUUACAUCAUCAUUCCCACCAUCCCCCUGAUUCUGCUGUUACUGACAGCGAUCGGAGUCUGCUGCUUCAAACUGCUGGCCACACGGAGGAGGAAACAACAGAAAUCAGAAGUAUGCCAGACGGACCCAAGCUUCUGCCCCAGCCCGGCUCCAACUGACGUCUACAACGUCAUUCGCUCCCAGAAGGAGGAUGACCUGGUUUCAACUCGCCCGCACACCAAAAACACCUCCUUUUUAUGCUCCUCCCCCGACACACCCACAGGUGACUACGACAACCUGGGGGGGCGGGACACAGAGAGCGGCUUUGUGACGCUUGCCAGCACAGAGAGCUGCUUCCUCAACUUUGACCUCAAUGACCUCAGCCUUGGGCGUCGCACCAACCGUGACUUCUACAACACCAGCUUGGGCCGCUCAGCAAAGAGGGAGUUGAGGGACUUGAAUGACAGCAGUCUGGGCUCCACCGGGCACAGAGAGUAUUAUGACAGGAGUCUAGGUCGUCGUACGACAAAGAGCGAGCAUUACGGCAGCAGCGUGUACGGGGACCAUGGGUUGUAUGAUGGCAGCAUCAGAGGAGGGAGCGACCUCUAUGAUCCCAAACUGAAGCCUGGAAGUCACACAGUGAAGGCUGACCUCUAUCAGACAUACAUCACCAACGGCAAGGACGACACUUACCAGACCAGCCUAGGAACCUUUGGAAACCGAAAAUCCUACCAAGCAAACCUGGACAGCUACAGAAACGGCCUGAAUCUUGAUGCCGGAAGGAGAUACUACAAUGAACAAGAAUGGAUCAACAGAGAAAACUACUGAUCCUCUGAACAGCUACCUUAGUGUGUGUAUAGCAGUGUGUGUGAUUGUGUACAGGACCAAGAGGAUGAAAAAAAAACUGUGCACGUACAUGGUUGUAAAUGUUUGUAUAGUAUGUGUCUGAAGCCUUUUAGGGGAUUUAAAUGAGAUGAGGACAUGCUCAGAUGAGAUUUUGUUACUGACCCCACAAUUUGUAGCUCAUGGGCAGACUAGGCCCGUGUGGCAAUUCGUUUGUGAUGAUCAAACACAAAUUUGUUAAGGAAAAUGAACUUAAAAUUGAAGGAUCAGCUUAUACAAAUUACAACAAAAUGAAACAAAACGAUUUCCAUUCAUUUCACACAUCAAAGUCUGUUUACAGGUGUUGGGAGCACUACUGCACAGGUGGCUUCAGAUGGAGCUGCAUGAAAUCUGAAAAAUCGCCUCAAGUGAUGUCAUUUGAGUCAGCGUCGGUUGGUGCUGGAGACUCCAGGUGUGAGAAAAAAGCAACCUGGGAAGCGUGAGUUUAGCAGACCUCUCAACUCUGCCUGAAGCUACAAGCAGCGGCUACAAAGUUACAUUAGCCGCCACUAGCAUGACACACCUGAAUCUCAUGCUGCAUAUUAUUUACCUCAGAAGUCAGAACUGGGAAUGAUGUCACACCCAAGUUGAUCACAUUCCAGUACAAGUCGGAAAACCAAGAUGUUGUUUGCAGUAUCAGUUCCAUCCAGGUUAGCCAUUACUACCAAAACUGGAUGAUAAAAACGUAUUACGCUGAAUUUUGCCCCUACAGACACCGUAGCUACAUGUCAGUGGAUAAAGUAGGACAGUCUUGUAUAUACAACUGUUUUGAUGAGACACAAGUGAAGCAGAAGUGCUAAUAAACAGCAUAUUACCACAGCUUUCACUACUGUUGAUGCACCGGCCAUCUUGGAUUUUGAGAUCAGGGCUGGUGAGGUCCCUCCGACUUUCCUAUAAAUGUGUAAAGAGAACUGGACACAGCACUCAAUUCAAUGAAAGUUGCUCGGUGGUGCAUGAAACCAAAAACAUACAACUGCCAUGUAUAAAUUACCCAGAUGAUCGGCACUGCUUCUGCAUCAGUCGGCCCUUAGAGCAAGCGCACGAGAAACUUCUGCCUGCCACGACGGCUACUUCCUGUUCAGUGCUCUGCUAACUUCAAUGGGGAUAAAUGAUUUAAAUGUGCAGCUCUUCUAGACUCUAGGCUUUGCAGGGGUUGUGACACUCAAAAAAAUGUGUCCUCUGAUUUUCUCUGUCUCUUUCGCAAUGCUAAGUCUAUGUUAAAAAGUCUCUUUGGGCACAAUGGCAUCAUGAGAUGGACUCGAAAGUUGUAACUCCACUGUUUGGUCACUACAAAGAUUGUCGUCAAAGCCCGGCGCACUUCCUUAGGGCAGAUAUCCAACUUUAGGGGGGGUUCCAGUUGAAAUUUCCGACCGGGAACUCUGACACUCCGGCUUCCAAGUGCAAGUGGAACACACCAUCAGAGCAAUCUGUUGGUGGUCAAGUUGCAUUGUGGGAAAUGUAGGAGCCAUAUUUUGACAAGAAAGAAGAAUGCAUUUUUUAAAAACUGUGAGUCUGGCAAUGUUACAGGGCAAUUUCAAAUUGGUGGAAUACUCUUACUACAAUUACUACAAACAAAUGCACACAGGAAAUCUGGGGGCCUUCAGAGGCGACUGAUUAAGCUUUGGUGAGAGGACGCCCAGUAAAGAAGCCACGUGAGACCUCAAGUAUAGCAUGUAGUACCUCGGAUGUGACUGAGUGAUUAUGAGCGACUUUGAUAGUGAAAUGUGUGUGUGUGUGUGUGUGUGUGUGUGUGUGUGUGUCAGCCUGUUUGCAUGGCCUUGUCAUGCUGCCCUUGCUUGGUAGGAUAACUAUCAACGGUCUUGGACCCUUAUGUUUGCUGUGCCUGUUCAAAAACUUUUAACCUCACCCACGUUUACCUGAUAUAAACCGGCUACCUCAAACAGAUCAAGACACAAUAAACCAACACUGCUUGAGAGAGCGAAGGCUGGAUAUUUUCUAUGUACUGCGAGAGUGUUUUGACAUGGCCUUAAACUGUGAGAUAUCCAGAUCUUGCAUUGAAUUUAUUAACGGCGUUCUGUCUCCUACUGAGGAAAUCAAAGACAAAAACAAUGCUAGCAAGUGGAAAGGUGGCUCUUGCAGUAAAUUUGAGUUGCCCGCAGCCUGACCACAGCAAUGGCAUGAUAUUGAAGAGAAUGAUUAAAUAUAGCAUCAUUAUUAUUAUUUAUUCAGAAUGUAUAAUGCCUUGACAUCUCUCCUGUAAGUGAG